UCUAUGCAGACGAUGUACAACUUUAUCUGAAUUGCUCAAAAACAGAACUAAGUCAUGGAAUUGAGAAGCUAAAAACCGACUUAAGAAAUAUCAACAUGUGGACUAUGGAAAACAAACUGCACAUAAAUCCAAACAAAUCAAAGUUCAUUAUUUUUUCAAACCACUGCCAGGAAGUGGUGUGUGAAAACCCUUUGCAAAUUGGAAAUAACGCAAUCAAACUGGUGGCCAGAGGGAAAUUAAGGAGUUGGUGCAAAUUUCUUUGGUAAUUGGUCAAUUGCAUUCAAAUAAUGGAGGUGUGGAGGCCACCGUGGCGCAGGUUAGCAUGUCCACCUAUGGCGCCGAACGCAGGGGUUAAAAUCCCGGCGUUAACAUCAUAAAAGUUUUCAGAGGUGGUUUGUCCCUUACUAAUGCUGGCAACAUUUGUGAAGUAUUCUGCCAUGUUAAAUCUUCU
rnacentral:sRNA from 1 species